AUCUGGUAUGGAUUAGGUAGUUGGAAAAUUGUCCAAGCCAAAGAUCCAUAGCCUUCCUUGUUGGGGGAUUGGCCACAGUGGGACUGCAACACGGCCCAUCCACAUGAGUGGCAGCAGUGGAGAAUAUUUGACAAUGAGCGAAAGCUUGAUCGAGCAUUUCUGUAGAAGGUAUGAAAUUCAUAGAAUUCAUUCAUAAGGAGAAGGCAGAUUGUCGAAACCCUUAUUUAUUUUCUUAUUUAAAAAUGAAGAAUAGAAAAUAAAAUCCCUGGCAAACUCUGUGCCAGCCGCCGCGGUAAGACAGAGAGGGAAAGUGUUGAGCAAAUGGACUGGGUAUAAAAUACGGGUAGGUUGUUCAUAAAUUAUUUUUGAAAUUGUGUGAUUGAUCAAACAAACAAAAAUAAAUAAGAGAACUGGAAUAAUGAUUUGGAUAAGGGAAUGGCCCAAGUAUUGGUAGAAUAAAAAAAUAUGGGUUGGAACGUCUUGAGCGAAGGCACUUAUCUGGUCAUUUAUUAACACUGAGCCGUGGAAGUGUGGAGAACAAAUGGGAUUAGAUACCCCAGUAGCCCACACCGUCAACAAUGAAUGCUUUGGGAGAAAACCAGCAAAAGAAAUUCCAUAUGUGAAAGCAAAAGCAUUCUACCUGGGGAGUAUUGUCGCAAGGCAGAAACUCAAAAGAAUUGACUGCUAGAGAGAACAAUGGUGGAGUAUUGGGGUUUAAUAGAAA
rnacentral:rRNA from 1 species